CCUACGGGCGGCAGCAGUGAGGAAUAUUGGUCAAUGGACGAGAGUCUGAACCAGCCAAGUAGCGUGAAGGAUUACUGCCCUAUUGGUUGUAAACUUCUUUUAUAAAGGAAUAAAAUGAGGCACGUGUGCCUUUUUGCAUGUACUUUAUGAAUAAGGAUCGGCUAACUCCGUGCCAGCAGCCGCGUUAAUACGGAGGAUCCGAGCGUUAUCCGGAUUUCUUGGGUGUAAAUGGAGCGUAGAUGGUUUGUUAAGUCAGUUGUGAAAGUUUGCGGCUCAACCGUAAAAUUGCAAUUGAUACUGGCAGGCGUGAGUACAGUUGAGGUAGGCGGAAUUCGUGGUGUAGCGGUGAAAUGCUUAGAUAUCACGAAGAACCCCGAUUGCGAAGGCAGCUUACUAAACUGUGACUGACAUUGAUGCUCGAAAGUGUGGGUAUCAAACAGGAUUAGAUACCCCGGUAGUC
rnacentral:rRNA from 1 species